CGUGGGUAACCUGCCCAAGAGAUCGGGAUAACACCUGGAAACAGAUGCUAAUACCGGAUAACAACAGAUGAUGCCUAUCAACUGUUUAAAAGAUGGUUCUGCUAUCACUCUUGGAUGGACCUGCGGUGCAUUAGCUAGUUGGUAGGGUAACGGCCUACCAAGGCGAUGAUGCGUAGCCGAGUUGAGAGACUGAUCGGCCACAUUGGGACUGAGACACGGCCCAAACUCCUACGGGAGGCAGCAGGG
rnacentral:rRNA from 1 species